GGGCAUCUAGCACCUUCCACAUCCUCCCCUCCUUUCCCUCAUUCUCCCUCUAUCUUCCUCAGACCCUCUCUCUAGAUUCUCUCUCUUCCUCUGACCCACUGCCACCGCACCGCCUCUUCUCUCCAUCAAUGGCACCACCACCAGGUCUCUCUCUCUCCGAGUCAAAGACGGUGAUCCCAUCCAUCACUCUUGAUUCUUAUUCUUGCGGCUUCAAAUUUGAUUUGGUUUGGAAUUUUGAAACUUUUCCUUUUUCCACUUCGGUGUGUUGGGUCUGUAAUUUGAUCAGUCUCUGAAGUAGGUCUAGAUGCUUAGUUUUUAUUUUUAUUUAGGGUUUCUCAUUUUCUUGGUUCGGAUUGUUAGGUUUUGGGUUUGGGAGAAUUAUAUAUUUUGAGAUGGGUUUCUAUUUUCUAGGGUUUGUGGUGUUCGGUCAGUGGUUUCAGGUUUUUGUGUUGAGAAUUAGCUAGGGCGGACUCCUCCGCAAACUCGAUCCAGGAUUCAUUUGAAACUUGAUUUUUAAAGGAUGGUAAUUGAGAGGGAAUCAUUUGAUUUUUUUAGGUGGGAUUAGAAGCUGUAUGUAAGAAAUGGAUAGAAUUCAGCCACCCCUGGCACUUGAAGCUCUAAAAGAGCCUUGACGCCCUAAGAUGCGUUGGAUCAUGUUUUAGAAGCGAUGGUUUGGUUGUCAAAGGUAGUAAAUUAGUCUUCGGAUAAUAUCUAGCUUAUGUAUAAGUGGGUAACCAGCAUGUUCAAAUUUAUUCUCUUGCCCAUUAUCUGCUAUACAGAUUACACACUAAAACUAAAUAUGAACAUCAGAUUC